rnacentral:rRNA from 1 species
GAUGAACGCUAGCUACAGGCUUAACACAUGCAAGUCGCGGGGCAGCAUGUUGGUUGCUUGCAACCGAUGAUGGCGACCGGCGCACGGGUGAGUAACGCGUAUCCAACCUACCUAUUACCACGGGAUAACCCGGCGAAAGUCGGACUAAUACCGUAUGUGGUCUUCGAUUGGCAUCAGCAGUAGACUAAAGGUUUGGCGGUAAUAGAUGGGGAUGCGUCCGAUUAGUUAGUUGGCGGGGUAACGGCCCACCAAGACGUCGAUCGGUAGGGGUUCUGAGAGGAAGGUCCCCCACACUGGAACUGAGACACGGUCCAGACUCCUACGGGAGGCAGCAGUGAGGAAUAUUGGUCAAUGGGCGUAAGCCUGAACCAGCCAAGUAGCGUGCAGGAUGACGGCCCUAUGGGUUGUAAACUGCUUUUAUGCAAGAAUAAAUUAGCUCACGUGUGGGUUAUUGCAGGUAUUGCAUGAAUAAGGACCGGCUAAUUCCGUGCCAGCAGCCGCGGUAAUACGGAAGGUCCGGGCGUUAUCCGGAUUUAUUGGGUUUAAAGGGAGCGUAGGCGGCCUUUUAAGCGUGUUGUGAAAUUCAGUUGCUCAACAUCUGACUUGCAGCGCGAACUGGGGGGCUUGAGUAUGCUGAAGGUAGGCGGAAUUCGUGGUGUAGCGGUGAAAUGCUUAGAUAUCACGAAGAACUCCGAUUGCGAAGGCAGCUUACUGCAGCUUAACUGACGCUGAUGCUCGAAAGCGUGGGUAUCGAACAGG